GUACAGAGGUCUCAAGCGUUGUUCGGAUUCAUUGGGCGUAAAGGGUGCGUAGGUGGCGCCGUAAGUCGGGUGUGAAAAUUUCGGAGCUUAACUCCGAAACUGCAUUCGAUACUGCGGUGCUUGAGGACUGGAGAGGAGACUAGGAAUUCAUGGUGUAGCAGUGAAAUGCGUAGAGAGUCGGGAGGAAUACCAGUGGCGAAGGCGGCCUUCUGGACU
rnacentral:rRNA from 1 species